UACGGAGGGUGCGAGCGUUAAUCGGAAUGAUUGGGCGUAAAGCGCGCGUAGGUGGUUCGUUAAGUCGGAUGUGAAAGCCCUGGGCUCAACCUGGGAAUUGCAUCCAAAACUGGCAGACUAGAGUACAGUAGAGGGGGGUAGAAUUUCCGGUGUAGCGGUGAAAUGCGUAGAGAUCGGAAGGAAUACCAGUGGCGAAGGCGGCCCCCUGGACUGAUUCUGACACUGAAGUGCGAAAGCGUGGGUAGCGAACAGG
rnacentral:rRNA from 1 species